CCCUUAGAUGUUCUGGGCUGCACGCACGCUACACUGAUGCACUCAACGAGUUUACGACCUUGCCCGAUAGGGUUGGGUAAUCUUUUUAAAAUGCAUCGUGAUGGGGAUAGAUUAUUGCAAUUAUUAAUCUUCAACGAGGAAUUCCUAGUAAGCGCGAGUCAUCAGCUCGUGCUGAUUACGUCCCUGCCCUUUGUACACACCGCCCGUCGCUCCUACCGAUUGAGUGCUCAGGUGAAUAAUUCGGACUGCAGCAAUGUUUGGAUCCCGAACGUUGCAGCGGAAAGUUUAGUGAACCUUAUCACUUAGAGGAAGGAGAAGUCGUAACA
rnacentral:rRNA from 1 species